rnacentral:rRNA from 1 species
GACGAAACUAGAUACAAGCGAGCGGCGGACGGGUGAGUAACACGUGGGUAACCCGCCCAAGAGACUGGGAUAACACCUGGAAACAGAUGCUAAUACCGGAUAACAACACUAGACGCAUGUCUAGAGUUUAAAAGAUGGUUCUGCUAUCACUCUUGGAUGGACCUGCGGUGCAUUAGCUAGUUGGUAAGGUAACGGCUUACCAAGGCAAUGAUGCAUAGCCGAGUUGAGAGACUGAUCGGCCACAUUGGGACUGAGACACGGCCCAAACUCCUACGGGAGGCAGCAGUAGGGAAUCUUCCACAAUGGACGCAAGUCUGAUGGAGCAACGCCGCGUGAGUGAAGAAGGGUUUCGGCUCGUAAAGCUCUGUUGGUAGUGAAGAAAGAUAGAGGUAGUAACUGGCCUUUAUUUGACGGUAAUUACUUAGAAAGUCACGGCUAACUACGUGCCAGCAGCCGCGGUAAUACGUAGGUGGCAAGCGUUGUCCGGAUUUAUUGGGCGUAAAGCGAGUGCAGGCGGUUCAAUAAGUCUGAUGUGAAAGCCUUCGGCUCAACCGGAGAAUUGCAUCAGAAACUGUUAACUUGAGUG